CACGGAGGCCCCGAGCGUUGUUCGGAUUUACUGGGCGUAAAGCGUGCGUAGGCUGUUGGGUAAGUCAGAUGUGAAAGCCCGGGGCUCAACCCCGGAACUGCAUCCGAUACUGCCCGACUAGAGGGUUGGAGAGGAGACUGGAAUUCACGGUGUAGCAGUGAAAUGCGUGGAUAUCGUGAGGAAGACCAAAGGCGAAGGCAGGUCUCUGGACAACAUCUGACGCUGAUGCACGAAGGCCAGGGGAGCAAAAAGG
rnacentral:rRNA from 1 species